rnacentral:rRNA from 1 species
GAAAUCAGAAUAGAGACACUUUAAGAAGAGUACCACGGAGCACGUGAAAUUCUGUGGGAAGAUAGGGGGACCACCCCCUAAGGCUAAAUACUACCUGGUGACCGAUAGCGAAUAGUACCGUGAGGGAAAGGUGAAAAGAACCCCGGGAGGGGAGUGAAACAGAACCUGAAACCUUGCGCCUACAAGCAGACAGAGGAAGAAGACUUCUAAUGUCGUACUUUUUGUAGAACGGGCCAGCGAGUUACGAUACGUAGCAAGAUUAAACAUUUAAGAUGUGAAGUCGCAGGGAAACCGAGUCUUAAUAGGGCGAAAGUUAUGUGUUGUAGACCCGAAACCGGGUGAUCUAUCCAUGGGCAGAGUGAAGGUAAAGUAAAAUUUACUGGAGGCUCGAACCGGGUAGCGUUUAAAAGCUAUCGGAUGACCUGUGGAUAGGGGUGAAAAGCCAAUCGAACUCGGAUAUAGCUGGUUCUCCUCGAAAUAGCUUUAGGGCUAGCCUUGUUUUAGAUUACAGGAGGUAGAGCACUGAAUAGUCUAGGGGAAGUAAUUCUACCGAAACUUAUCAAACUCCGAAUGCCUGAAAAUCGAUGAACAGGAGUCAGACCAUGAGGGAUAAGCUUCAUAGUCAAAAGGGAAACAGCCCAGACCACCAGUUAAGGUCCCAAAAUACAGAUUAAGUGGGAAAGGAUGUAAUACUACUCAGACAACCAGGAUGUUGGCUCAGAAGCAGCCAUACAUUUAAAGAGUGCGUAAUAGCUCACUGGUCAAGUGGUAAUGCGCCGAAGAUGAACGGGGCUAAAUCUGAUACCGAAACUGUGGGAUAGAAAAGCAAUUAUGCGAGAAGUAUGGAGUGAGACUUAGGAAAUAUAUCAACUAGUAAAGUAAGAGAGAAAGACAUAAAACAAAAUUUGUGAAAACACAAAGCGUAAAACUAUUAAACGAUACAAUUUCUAAAACACUUAACAACAUACAACUGGCAUAAUAGCUUUUCUAUCGGUAGAGGAGCGUUGUAUAUGAAUUGAAGCAAAAAGCGUAAGCAAUUGUGGAUUAUAUACAAGUGAGAAUGCUGGCAUGAGUAGCGAAAAGGGAUGUGAGAAUCAUCCCCGUCGAAAGCCCAAGGAUUCCUGAGCAAGGCUCGUCCUCUCAGGGUAAGUCGGGACCUAAGGCGAGGCCGAAAGGCGUAGUCGAUGGACAACAGGUAGAAAUUCCUGUACUACAAGAUUGUGAUUGAGAGAAGUACUGACGCAGAAGGAAAAGUCGAGCGUGUGAAUGGUAGAACACGUCCAAGUAACAAGCCAGAAUAUACAGGCAAAUCCGUAUAUUCGUUAACGUAAGUUAUCAUGGGGAGCAGAAAGAUGCGAAGCGACAGAUUCAAACUGCCAAGAAAAGGUGCUAUCGAAUAAUCUUGUACCCGUACCGCAAACCGACACAGGUAGGCAAGAAGAGAAUUCUAAGACGCGCGGAAGAACCUUUGUUAAGGAACUCGGCAAAAUAAUCCCGUAAGUUAGCGAGAAGGGAUGCCUAAGAAAUUAGGUCGCAGAGAAUAGGCCCAAGCGACUGUUUACCAAAAACACAAGUAUCUGCUAAAUCGAAAGAUGAAGUAUAGGUGCUGACACCUGCCCGGUGCUGGAAGGUCAAGGGGACUUGUUAGAGCAAUCGAAGCAACGAACUUAAGCCCCAGUAAACGGCGGCCGUAACUAUAACGGUCCUAAGGUAGCGAAAUUCCUUGUCGGGUAAGUUCCGACCCGCACGAAAGGUGUAACGA